rnacentral:lncRNA from 1 species
GUAGUUAUGGUGUUUUCCUUUUGUAAUAUCUUCUCUUACAACCCAAAGGAAUGGUCUUUCGGUGAUUUCAAGGCCCAAAGCUAACUCUUGAAACUGGAUUUGGUCAAAAACUGUGAAACUACCAAAUGCGACAUAUAUGACUGAACCAGGUGACUGUUGAUCGAGCCACUGCAAACAAGUUGGAUCCUCAAGCCAAAAAUUCCCCGACAAGUUUCCGAGCCGAUUGGUGGCUAAAAAUGGGCCUAUGGGUAAGGCUUUGGGAACUAAGUUGAACCCUUGAAGCUCUAAUUCCAAACUUGAGUUGCAAAGUACCCAGUCUGUUGUUUCAACAACUUUGUACUUCCUAAGUUGAAAAUCAAACAUAAAUUUUGGGGUUGAAGGAGAGUCAUCAAUGUUAAGCCAUACCAAAUUCAUUGGGUGUAUAGAAAGCGUCAUUGGUGACAACUGAAUCAUCUUAUGUUUCAUGAGUGGAGUGCCUGCAAAACAGAUUUAAAUAAUUGAAGAUAACGUUGUUGAAAGUGUUUUUUAAGCUAUAAGUAAUGUUAAACUGGCAGUUUCAAAAGUAAGAAAAUGCUUUUGAAUCCUUGGAAAAAACAGUUUUCAAGCAAGUCACAUUUUUAACCAUUAUUUAUAAUUUAAUGUGUUUUAUGUACUAAUUAUAUAGGAUAUACAAUUAUUUUUCUAUUGAAACUUAUUUUAAAUAUAUACUAUUAUAUAGUUAAUUUUUUAUAGUUAUAUUUUAAUGAUAUUUAAAAUAUAGAUUAUAUAUUUAAAUUAAAUUUUAUAAAUAAUUAAUAUUAAUUGCUUACAAAUAUUUAAAAUUUAUAUUGCAUAUAUCAAAAUAUUAAUAAUGAGUUAUGAUAAAAAAAUUUAUAUUUUUAUUUUAAUAUCAUAAUAAUGAGUUUUAAUAUUAUUCAAAUGCAUAUUUUUAUUUCACCACAUCAUGUUUAAAAUAAACGUAUUAUUUCUUAAAAAUAUUUGUUAAUAAUAAUACUAAACAGUUAAAUUAAAGGUUUAAAAAUAUUUUUAAUUCAAAAGUUACGAGAAAUUAGCCUAAGUCAAAUCAAAUUAGAUCUCACACGAGAAAAAAAACAUAUAUUUUCUCUUAUUCAUAGGUACUGCACUGCUAAGUAGUUAAAGCAAAACAGGGUACGUCUUACCAUUUUCAUCUAUCAGUCCAUCAUCAAUAAGUUUGGGGACCCUAAGCAACACCGCCAGUUGAAGCACCGCAGUCGGCCAAAAGCCCACCGUAGGAAUCCCCAACUCCGCCGCAACAUCAAGAGCCAACCCCAUGCUAAUAUCAGCUAAAACACAUGAAAUCUUAUCAUCAUCUGAUCCAUUAACCUUAUGAAUGAGCUCAUUGAGUUGAGUAGGCAUAACCUGGCAUAAACUUUCAGUUAACUUCCCUAACUGAUUCCUAUCUUCCCCAUCUUCUAGUCCAUCGGGGACUGAAAGUAGAUGAAGUAAGCCAUUUUCAUCCACCUUCUCGCCGAAUGCAUCCAAGACCCUCUUGUGAUUAAACACUGUGUUAACAAAGCUGAUUUUGAUGCCUUGUUUGGCUAAGUUUUGGGAGAGUUCCAUGAGAGGAAUAACAUGGCCUUGGGCUGGAUAAGGGAUUACCACAACGUGUGGUUUCCCCAUUUCCGUUUGUGCUUUUGGAGAAUUGAGGGCUCACACUUUGAUUAUUUAUAGCAACCAUUUCGGGCCAAUUUACGUUUCCAAUGCCAUCCUAUCUUCUAAAGAAAAUAAAAAUAUAAUAAUAACGUGGUGUCACGUGAUUUAAUUAUGGUGCAUCUUCUGUCUUGUAAUCUCGAUUUUUCAUUCUCCCACUACAACAAAAUCAAGCUUACGAGCACACCUUUUUUUUUACUUAGUAUUCAUUACUAAUAGCUACUAAAAAUGAUUUUAAUUGUAUUUUUUAAUUUUUUGGUCAUUUACCUUUAUUUUUUAAUCUUUUUUUUAACAAUUUUAAUGAAAGUGAAGUUAAAAUAAUUAACGGGAAUAAUGUGAAAUUUCAUAUGCGAAAUAUUUUUAAUGAGAUGUAAUUUAUUACUUAGAUAAUUCAAUAAGAUAGUUGAAGGUGAAAUAAAAAUACAUUAAAUUAAAAAAUAACUCUUAAUUUAAAGAAAAUAAUGUAAUUAUCUAAAAAUAUAUUACUCAGUAGAAAAUUUUCUCAAUAAACAAACAUAUGAAAGAUUGAAACCUUAAAUUUAUUCAUUAAAUCUCGUGAAUUAAUUAAUUAAAUAUGUUAAAAUGUAGUUGAAAAUAAAUCAAAGGUUGAUGGAAAAAAAAACUCAAAAAUACAAUUAGGGCCAUUUUGACAAAACAUAUAAAUAUUAGUGACCAAAUUUAUCAUUAAGCCUUACUCAUAUAACGUGCCAUACAUAUAUUUAACAUAUAUUGUAUUAUAUUAUAGUAUAAAAAUUAAUAAAUCUUCGAAUUAUUUAUAUAUGUAACAUAUAUUAUAAUAUGAAUUGUUAAUAUGAAACUACCUUACACAUGAUUUGCUUUGUUAUAUUAUAUAAUGAUAUAUUAUAUUACGAAGAAUAAAAAUUACAUUAUAUUUAUUACUUAUAAUUAAUUAUAUGCAUAUAAAUACUAUAAGCAUGAUAACAUAAUAUGAAUUAUUAAUACUUUGACUUUAUUAUAAUUAUAUUCAUCUAAUUAUUAGUGUGUUUUUUUUGUUACUUAACUAUGAAAAGUUACAAAAUGGUUACUCAAAAUUUCAACUUUUUUUCUUUUUUGGGCACCCAAUUAUUAAUUGAAAUUUUCUUUUAUGAUCACCGGCCAUUAAAUUAGUAAUCGAAAAAUAACUUAGCAGUUUUUAAAAUUGGCAUAAUAGUAACAUUAACCUUCAACAUUUAUACAUUGUGUUAAUUUAGUCUUGAUUCUAAAAAAAAAAAUUAACCCUCGACAUUUGCACAUCAUAUAAAUUGGUUUUUUUUAAAUUUUACUUUUUAUUUAUAAUGUUGAUGGUUAAUUUUAAAAGAAUAAGAAAAGUUAAAAAUGAUUAUGUUGAAUUUUCAAAUGUUUCCUUUUUGAUAUAUUUCCUAUCAAAUUUACUUGAUAGAUUUGUUUUUUCUUUUAGCUCUUUAGGUGGAAGGGAAACAAAAAAAAAGGCAAAAAAAGAAAAGAAAAGAGGAGAGAUCAAAUUACACAAUAUGUAAAUUUUGAGGGUUAAUCUUUGUUUAUAAUUAAGACUAAAUUGACACAAGUUAUAAAUGUUGAAGGUUAAAGCUAUUAUUAUGUCAAUUUUAAAAGCUAUCAUGUUAAUUUUCUAUCAAUCAUUUACGACUGUUGACCAUAAAGGAAAAACUCAAAUAGUUAAGUGAUAAUUUUGUAACUUUUCUUUCAUAGUUAAGAGCCAAAAAAAACUUACCUAUAGUCAGUGGCGGAUCUUUGGACUAAGUUUUGAGAUUAUUAAAAUUUUCAAAAAUUUUAAUGAGAUUUUUUUAAAAAUUAACGGUUUAAUUAAAAUUUUUAAAAUUUUUGUGAAAUUAAUGAGAAUUUUUAAAUGUUUUAAGUGGGCUUUUUAAAAUAAAUUUCAAAAAAAAUUAAAAAAUAUAAUGAGAAUUUUUUAAAAUUUGGGGAGCUUACUUUUUUUUACUUUAAAAGAGAAAUAAAAUUUUAAAAAAUAAAUAAUAAUUUCUAAAAUUUUAAGAGUGCCUGUAAUUGUCCGAUUUUAGGCCUAGUCGGAACAGUGGUUUCGGUACCACAAAUCUGACGAGAAAAAAAAAUGUAAUGGCCUGAAUUUUCAGAGGUGUCGGAACGGUGAUUCGAGAUCACUAAAUUCGACAAAUGGGUAGAAAAUAUUAUUAAUUUAGUAAGUAUAAGUUAAAUGUGAAGUUAGGAAAAUUUUUGAAAUAGUGAAUAGUGCACUAGAAAUAAAUAUUAAAAUAAUUAGAAUCGAAAUGAGGUAUCAAGACCUCGGGGAUUUUAAACUGAGCCAUAAAUAUUUUUAUAAAUAUUUAUGGAGUGUUAAAAAGUUAGUAUUAAAGUUUCGGUAAGAAAUUUUAAAGUUCCGAUAAUUAAUUGAACAAAAAAGACUAAAUUGUAACAAAUGCAAAAUUUUGGGAAAUGAUUAAAUAGCUUAAAUGAUAAAAGGAAGAGGGCUUAAAAGGCAAAUAGACCCAAGGUCUAUUUGGGCUGGACGGCAGAGGCAUGAAAUCAGCAAGAAAGUAAGGAGAAUUAAGGGCAAAAUUGCAAAAUUGCAAAAUUUGCUUAAUAAAGUUAGGACCCAAGUGGAAUUAUCUAGAUUUCUCUUUAUUUUUCUGAAUUCUCAUCAGCAAAAACACCAUGGAAGGGCUUCUUCAAGCUGGUUCUUCAUAUUUUUACUACAAGUAAGUUCAAUUCUUUACUAUUUCUUGAAAUUUUUGUAUUUUUAUGACUUUUACAACUAGGCCCACUUGUUAAAUUCAUUAGUUUUUGAUUUUAUGAAAGAAGUUGAAAGUUGAUAUGAAUAUGUGCUGGAAUUAUAUGAUGAUUUAUCAUGAAAUUAGAGCUUUAAAUUGUUCAUAUGCUGAUUUUAUUGAAAGAAUUGAAUAGAAAGUGAAUGUUUGGGACCUAAUAGUAAAAGAGUUUGAAGAUAGAGUUAUAUGUGGAAAUUCUGGAUUUAAAUAGUUGAGUAACAACUUAUAAUGUCUAGGUGAAGUAUUAAUUGAGAAAAUUAGAUUAAUUGAGGGGUUAAUUGAGAAAGGACCGAAUUGUAUAAACUGUGAAAUUUGGGGCAAAAUGGAAAUCAACAUUUUGCACUAAAGCAGUUUUGGACAGUAGUAGUGUAACUUUGAAAAAUCACCAAAAAUUGUAGAGAUUGAAUUAGAGGAUUAAUAAAAUAUGAAACUAAAGCUUAUUGAGUCUAGUUUCUUAUAAAAGAAAUGGUGUGAGCAAUGGAAUUGUAAAUCAUGAGAUAUAAUAGAUUUUGUGAGACAAGGUCAGAAUGAAUUCGGGUUCCCCUGUUCUGACUUUGGAAAAUCAUUAAAAAUCGUACAAAAAUUAUUAUGAGUUAUAAUUUAUAUGGUUAGUGAUACGACCCUGCCCUGGAAACAUUUCUUGGCUCGACUCACGAGCGAGGCUCGUUAUUCUCACAAGCUUGUCCCAGCUCAAUUUGGGCGGAUUCUAGCUUAUGGAGCUAGAAUGCAAUUUAUUAAGUUUGCAUUUAGAUGAUGUAAUAAAUAAGUUGCUGAUUAGUUAAUUAAAUAAGUUAAUUAAUUUGUUUAAAAAUCUGGACAUUUUUAUUUUAAUGUGUCUUAGUUUAUUACCUAUUAAAUAGAUGUCUAAUAGUUAAUUAAGUGUGUCUAAAUUUAAGACAAAUUUAAUUCAUGUUGUCAAUUAAUUUUUCCAGACGAAUUUAAUGUGCAGGAUAUUGUGUACUUUGGACGAAUUUAAUGCUGUUAAUUAAUGUGUUUUGCUGCUGUUGUUUAAUGCUGUUGUUGUUUAAAUACAGAAUGUUAAACAUGUCAUGGUUCAGCCGAAUUAAUGUGUGAGAUUUAAGCUAAGUAAAUUUGUUGAAUUUGCUAGGACAAUGUACAUGGACGGCAAAGAAGAGGUGGACAACAUCAUGCAUAAUUUGUGGAACAAAUUAAGGAAGCAUUUGACCAACAUCAUGCAUAAUUCAUGGAAGAAUUUGAGGAAGCAUUUGACCAACAUCAUGCAUAAUUCAUGGAAGAAUUUGAGGAAGCAUUUGGCCAACAUCAUGCAUAAUUCAUGGAAGAAUUUGAGGAAGCAUUUGACCAACAUCAUGCAUAAUUCAUGGAAGAAUUUAAGAAAGCAUUUGGCCAACAUCAUGCAUAAUUUAAGGAACAAAUUGAGGAAGCACCACGGCCGAAUUUGGCUUCCAAUUUUACCCAUUCGGCUACCCUUUUGUUUUGCCUAUAAAUAUGUGUUAAAUUUCAUUGUAAGGGGAGAAGAACCUUGAAUUAAUGUUUUUACAUUUUGUGAGAUUGUUUACAACUCUCAUUGUUCUCCAAAGACUCGUUUGACUUAUCAAGUAACCCUUGUGGCGUCAACCCAUUCUUCUUAUCCGAACUUAUCACUUUGCAUCCAAAGUGUGGCGUUCAAGUUAUACCGAGGUUCCUAUCAUCUUUGAUAGUGGGUUAAGGUUCCAUUUUAUUCGUUUUCCAUCCAUACAACAUUUAACCUUUCCUAAGUAUUCGUAUAAGUCCCGGGUUAACACACUUAUAUUGUGUUAGUUCAACUUGAAUACUUGGUUUUCAUUCACCUAUCAUCCUCAAUACACUUCAUAACCCCUUUUGAACUAAAUUUGAGCCUUUAUCCCUUCUUUCUUAACCUAUCUUCGACAAACCUUGAUAUUACUCCAAUUCACGAUCGGGUACAUCAACGACUCGACUCUCAUCACCGAGGCCGGGGCGUAUCAUCUGGUAUCAGAGCUAGCCGAAUCGGAGUAAGAAUCAUCAUCUUUGAUAUUAUGGUUUUGUAAAAAAAAAAAAGAGUCUGGAAACCCUUCAACAAUUUUUUUUGAAUCAUAAUCUACACUCCUUUAUACCCCUUUGAGUGAAUUUUCACGUUUUCAAAAAAAAAAAUUAUCCAAUUUAUUAUUUUUUCUUUCUUCUUUUGUAUUCGGUAUUAAAAAAAGAGAAAUUCAAAAAAAAAAUUCGGAAUUAAAAAAAAAGUGAUUGAAAUUCAUUUUAAGUUUUGUUUGAUAGCCUACCAUUUCCGACAUCAUUGCCCAUCAAGCCAACUCAAUUUUCUAAGCCGACGACAAACGGUAUUGAUUCGUCUAUCUAGUUUGUGGAGAACUUCGAGAGGCGAAAAUCGAGUGGAAAAAGGCACGAGUGGUGAGUACAUUAGAGCGAGCAAAAGCCAUUAAACAAGUGUAAACACGAGUGGAGUGUUAUCCAAUUUUCUUUGUGAGUGAAACGUGAGAUUUUUUUGUGGUGAGGUAUUUACUUUCUAUUUUAUUUUAAACAUUUUUUUAGCAAAAAAAAAUCAUGUCACAAGAAUUUUCUGAAUCAGAUUUCCAAUAUUUGAAGCAAGAGAUACGUAGAAUGGUGAAAUCAAAUUUUGAUAAAUUGCAUGAUCGAUUGGAUCGAGUGGAGGAAAGAGCCAGACGAAAACAAAAUCUACCAAAUCGAGAAAUGGAGUCGAGAUCAUUGCGGCGAUACGCGUCCAAAGACUACUCGUUAAGAGAUUCUUAUCGGGAUUCCUAUUCGUCAAGGAAUUCAAGACGCGACAGCCUAGAGCUUGCAACUUCUCGACAUGACAAACGAGAGAGGACGAGUUAUUCAUCGUAUGAUUCAAAGAAUUCCUUCCCGGAGGAUUGUUCCCGAAGAAAUGGACGAGAAGCCUAUGAAAAUAUUUUCUCUUCCUUUGGGGCAAAUGAUUAUAUUUUUGAUUCUUUCGUGUCGACUGCACAUUGUAAUGAAAUCGAAAAAGUGAGAGAAAAAGAAAAUGAAGAGAAAGAAUUCGAAAAAGAAAUUGAGAUUGUACAAGAGUGCGAGCAAGAAAAAGAAAAUGAAAGAAAUGAAAAAGAGAUUGAAAAAGAAAAAGAAAUCAAAAAAGAGAGUGAGGUCGAAAAUAAAGUUGAAAACGAGAGAGGAAAUGAAAAGAGAAAAAAAGAAGUUGAGAUUAAAAAAGAAACGAGCGAAAAAGAGACAAAUGAACUAGAAAAAGUGAGGAGCAUUUCAACUAAUCCAUAUGAAACUUGUUCUUGUUCUGUUUCUGCUUUUCAGGUAUCCAAAAGGCCGAGUGACGAUAAUUUACAACUCCAAUACCUUUCCAAGGAGAGAAGGUUCACCUUGGUUGAAAAAGGUAACGUUCUCAACUAUCUUAGUUCGCCUAUGCCAAAAGAGGAGCGAGGUAUGAGUUUUGAAAUUCUUAAAGCACCUCUGUUUUAUUCGAUUGUUGAUGGAAACCUUGUUGAUGAAUUGUCCUUUAGAAGUGAUCUGAACUUUGAUGUGGUUACUUGCCAUCCUUUGAUUGAUGAUAAUACAUUUGCGCGGAAUGAUGGCAAGAAGAAUAACGCUUUUGGAAAUUGCGAUGCUGAUGAGUUUGUUAGUAGAAUAAUAAUUAUUCGGCAUUUGCAAGAUAAAAAGACAUAUAAGCCAUUCCAUCGGCUUGAUUUGGGUAAAAAUAUGCACUCAUUGAUCUUUUGUGAGAAACUACUUUGUAUAAACAAGAAUGUGCGUAUGAGAUUUGAGACGUAUGAAUGCUUGAAAAAUGCAUGUCUUUGAUUUGUUUGUUUGAUAUGACGAUGACAUGUAAAAUGGUUAGUGCACUUAAAGUUGAAGAUGGUGCCUCAAAUCUGCUUUGUUAUCCAAAUUCUGUAUUUUUGAGCAAAAUUGACUGACUGAAAUUUAGAUUACAUGAUCAUUUGGAUGAGUUCUCGAUGUAUUUUGAUUAUAAUUCCAAUUUGAUUAUGAUGCAUGCUCUAUUGUCGAGUAUGGAGAUCCAUUUUGAAAAGGUUAAUUCAAGCAAGGAAUUUCGACUACUCUACAUUGCCGAGGAGAGAAGGUUUGUGUUGACCGAACAAGGUAAAACUGAUCUUUGUUUUCCUACUUUUAAAGGUAAGCCUCAUGAACUUUUUGAAACAUCGUUGUACUCUUUAGGUGGUGAUAAAGAUAGUGUUGUUGAUUUGACUCGUUAUUCACAUGCUGGUUAUGACUUGUGGAAACAAUUUGAGACAUUUGAAUGCCUUAGAACAUGUUCAUUUUUGUUUCGAAUAAUUGACGAGGCAUUAGCGAGUAAAUUAAUUUGUUUGCAUGAUUGUCAACAUGUUGCUUUGAAUCUGUCCACUCGCAUGGAAUUUUCUUGUUCUAUUCUGCUUGCAUAUGGAUUACAAAUUUAUCUGAAACACUUUUUGCUAAUUCAUGGUUAUUCCUUUCAGUUGUUCCAAUUCCAAUCCGUCCCAUUCGACCGAGGAAAGCUGAGUAAAAGUUGCUGUGUUCGAGUGAACCAAUGGCUCGACUUGAGGACAAGUCGUUCUAAAGAAGGGGGGAUGAUACGACCCUGCCAUGGAAACAUUUCUUGGCUCAACUCACGAGCGAGGCUCGUUAUUCUCACAAGCUCGUCCCAGCUCAAUUUGGGCGGAUUCUAGCUUAUGGAGCUAGAAUGCAAUUUAUUAAGUUUGCAUUUAGAUGAUGGAAUAAAUAAGUUGCUGAUUAGUUAAUUAAAUAAGUUAAUUAAUUUGUUUAAAAAUCUGGACAUUUUUAUUUUAAUGUGUCUUAGUUUAUUACCUAUUAAAUAGAUGUCUAAUAGUUAAUUAAGUGUGUCUAAAUUUAAGACAAAUUUAAUUCAUGUUGUCAAUUAAUUUUUCCAGACGAAUUUAAUGUGCAGGAUAUUGUGUACUUUGGACGAAUUUAAUGCUAUUAAUUAAUGUGUUUUGCUGCUGUUGUUUAAAUGCAGAAUGUUAAACAUGUCAUGGUUCAGCCGAAUUAAUGUGUGAGAUUUAAGCUAAGUAAAUUUGUUGAAUUUGCUAGGACAAUGUACAUGGACGGCAAAGAAGAGGUGGACAACAUCAUGCAUAAUUUGUGGAACAAAUUAAGGAAGCAUUUGACCAACAUCAUGCAUAAUUCAUGGAAGAAUUUGAAGAAGCAUUUGACCAACAUCAUGCAUAAUUCAUGGAAGAAUUUGAGGAAGCAUUUGGCCAACAUCAUGCAUAAUUCAUGGAAGAAUUUGAGGAAGCAUUUGACCAACAUCAUGCAUAAUUCAUGGAAGAAUUUAAGGAAGCAUUUGGCCAACAUCAUGCAUAAUUUAAGGAACAAAUUGAGGAAGCACCAUGGCCGGAUUUGGCUUCCAAUUUUACCCAUUCGGCUACCCUUUUGUUUUGCCUAUAAAUAUGUGUUAAAUUUCAUUGUAAGGGGAGAAGAACCUUGAAUUAAUGUUUUUACAUUUUGUGAGAUUGUUUACAACUCUCAUUGUUCUCCAAAGACUCGUUUGACUUAUCAAGUAACCCUUGUGGCGUCAACCCAUUCUUCUUAUCCGAACUUAUCACUUUGCAUCCAAAGUGUGGCGUUCAAGUUAUACCGAGGUUCCUAUCAUCUUUGAUAGUGGGUCAAGGUUCCAUUUUAUUCGUUUUCCAUCCAUACAACAUUUAACCUUUCCUAAGUAUUCGUAUAAGUCCCGGGUUAACACACUUAUAUUGUGUUGGUUCAACUUGAAUACUUGGUUUUCAUUCACCUAUCAUCCUCAAUACACUUCAUAACCCCUUUUGAACUAAAUUUGAGCCUUUAUCCCUUCUUUCUUAACCUAUCUUCGACAAACCUUGAUAUUACUCCAAUUCACGAUCGGGUACAUCAACGACUCGACUCUCAUCACCGAGGCCGGGGCGUAUCAUCUGGUAUCAGAGCUAGCCGAAUCGGAGUAAGAAUCAUCAUCUUUGAUAUUAUGGUUUUGUAAAAAAAAAGAGUCUGGAAACCCUUCAACAAUUUUUUUGAAUCAUAAUCUACACUCCUUUAUACCCCUUUGAGUGAAUUUUCACGUUUUCAAAAAAAAAAUUAUCCAAUUUAUUAUUUUUUCUUUCUUCUUUUGUAUUCGGUAUUAAAAAAAAAGAGAAAUUCAAAAAAAAAAUUCGAAAUUAAAAAAAAAGUGAUUGAAAUUCAUUUGAAGUUUUGUUUGAUAGCCUACCAUUUCCGACAUCAUUGCCCAUCAAGCCAACUCAAUUUUCUAAGCCGACGACAAACGGUAUUGAUUCGUCUAUCUAGUUUGUGGAGAACUUCGAGAGGCGAAAAUCGAGUGGAAAAAGGCACGAGUGGUGAGUACAUUAGAGCGAGCAAAAGCCAUUAAACAAGUGUAAACACGAGUGGAGUGUUAUCCAAUUUUCUUUGUGAGUGAAAUGUGAGAUUUUUUUUGUGGUGAGGUAUUUACUUUCUAUUUUAUUUUAAUCAUUUUUUUAGCAAAAAAAAAUCAUGUCACAAGAAUUUUCCGAAUCAGAUUUCCAAUAUUUGAAGCAAGAGAUACGUAGAAUGGUGAAAUCAAAUUUUGAUAAAUUGCAUGAUCGAUUGGAUCGAGUGGAGGAAAGAGCCAGACGAAAACAAAAUCUACCAAAUCAAGAAAUGGAGUCGAGAUCAUUGCGGCGAUACGCGUCCAAAGACUACUCGUUAAGAGAUUCUUAUCGGGAUUCCUAUUCGUCAAGGAAUUCAAGACGCGACAGCCUAGAGCUUGCAACUUCUCGACAUGACAAACGAGAGAGGACGAGUUAUUCAUCGUAUGAUUCAAAGAAGUCCUUCCCGGAGGAUUGUUCCCGAAGAAAUGGACGAGAAGCCUAUGAAAAUAUUUUCUCUUCCUUUGGGGCAAAUGGUUAUAUUUUUGAUUCUUUCGUGUCGACUGCACAUUGUAAUGAAAUCGAAAAAGUGAGAGAAAAAGAAAAUGAAGAGAAAGAAUUCGAAAAAGAAAUUGAGAUUGUACAAGAGUGCGAGCAAGAAAAAGAAAAUGAAAGAAAUGAAAAAGAGAUUGAAAAAGAAAAAGAAAUCAAAAAAGAGAGUGAGGUCGAAAAUAAAAUUGAAAACGAGAGAGGAAAUGAAAAGAGAAAAAAAGAAGUUGAGAUUAAAAAAGAAACGAGCGAAAAAGAGACAAAUGAACUAGAAAAAGUGAGGAGCAUUUCAACUAAUCCAUAUGAAACUUGUUCUUGUUCUGUUUCUGCUUUUCAGGUAUCCAAAAGGCCGAGUGAUGAUAAUUUACAACUCCAAUACCUUUCCAAGGAGAGAAGGUUCACCUUGGUUGAAAAAGGUAACGUUCUCAACUAUCUUAGUUCGCCUAUGCCAAAAGAGGAGCGAGGUAUGAGUUUUGAAAUUCUUAAAGCACCUCUGUUUUAUUCGAUUGUUGAUGGAAACCUUGUUGAUGAAUUGUCCUUUAGAAGUGAUCUGAACUUUGAUGUGGUUACUUGCCAUCCUUUGAUUGAUGAUAAUACAUUUGCGCGGAAUGAUGGCAAGAAGAAUAACGCUUUUGGAAAUUGCGAUGCUGAUGAGUUUGUUAGUAGAAUAAUAAUUAUUCGGCAUUUGCAAGAUAAAAAGACAUAUAAGCCAUUCCAUCGGCUUGAUUUGGGUAAAAAUAUGCACUCAUUGAUCUUUUGUGAGAAACUACUUUGUAUAAACAAGAAUGUGCGUAUGAGAUUUGAGACGUAUGAAUGCUUGAAAAAUGCAUGUCUUUGAUUUGUUUGUUUGAUAUGACGAUGACAUGUAAAAUGGUUAGUGCGCUUAAAGUUGAAGAUGGUGCCUCAAAUCUGCUUUGUUAUCCAAAUUCUGCAUUUUUGAGCAAAAUUGACUGACUGAAAUUUAGAUUACAUGAUCAUUUGGAUGAGUUCUCGAUGUAUUUUGAUUAUAAUUCCAAUUUGAUUAUGAUGCAUGCUCUAUUGUCGAGUAUGGAGAUCCAUUUUGAAAAGGUUAAUUCAAGCAAGGAAUUUCGACUACUCUACAUUGCCGAGGAGAGAAUGUUUGUGUUGACCGAACAAGGUAAAACUGAUCUUUGUUUUCCUACUUUUAAAGGUAAGCCUCAUGAACUUUUUGAAACAUCGUUGUACUCUUUAGGUGGUGAUAAAGAUAGUGUUGUUGAUUUGACUCGUUAUUCACAUGCUGGUUAUGACUUGUGGAAACAAUUUGAGACAUUUGAAUGCCUUAGAACAUGUUCAUUUUUGUUUCGAAUAAUUGACGAGGCAUUAGCGAGUAAAUUAAUUUGUUUGCAUGAUUGUCAACAUGUUGCUUUGAAUCUGUCCACUCGCAUGGAAUUUUCUUGUUCUAUUCUGCUUGCAUAUGGAUUACAAAUUUAUCUGAAACACUUUUUGCUAAUUCAUGGUUAUUCCUUUCAGUUGUUCCAAUUCCAAUCCGUCCCAUUCGACCGAGGAAAGCUGAGUAAAAGUUGCUGUGUUCGAGUGAACCAAUGGCUCGACUUGAGGACAAGUCGUUCUAAAGAAGGGGGGAUGAUACGACCCUGCCCUGGAAACAUUUCUUGGCUCAACUCACGAGCGAGGCUCGUUAUUCUCACAAGCUCGUCCCAGCUCAAUUUGGGCGGAUUCUAGCUUAUGGAGCUAGAAUGCAAUUUAUUAAGUUUGCAUUUAGAUGAUGGAAUAAAUAAGUUGCUGAUUAGUUAAUUAAAUAAGUUAAUUAAUUUGUUUAAAAAUUUGGACAUUUUUAUUUUAAUGUGUCUUAGUUUAUUACCUAUUAAAUAGAUGUCUAAUAGUUAAUUAAGUGUGUCUAAAUUUAAGACAAAUUUAAUUCAUGUUGUCAAUUAAUUUUUCCAGACGAAUUUAAUGUGCAGGAUAUUGUGUACUUUGGACGAAUUUAAUGCUGUUAAUUAAUGUGUUUUGCUGCUGUUGUUUAAUGCUGCUGUUGUUUAAAUGCAGAAUGUUAAACAUGUCAUGGUUCAGCCGAAUUAAUGUGUGAGAUUUAAGCUAAGUAAAUUUGUUGAAUUUGCUAGGACAAUGUACAUGGACGGCAAAGAAGAGGUGGACAACAUCAUGCAUAAUUUGUGGAACAAAUUAAGGAAGCAUUUGACCAACAUCAUGCAUAAUUCAUGGAAGAAUUUGAAGAAGCAUUUGACCAACAUCAUGCAUAAUUCAUGGAAGAAUUUGAGGAAGCAUUUGGCCAACAUCAUGCAUAAUUCAUGGAAGAAUUUGAGGAAGCAUUUGACCAACAUCAUGCAUAAUUCAUGGAAGAAUUUAAGGAAGCAUUUGGCCAACAUCAUGCAUAAUUUAAGGAACAAAUUGAGGAAGCACCAUGGCCAGAUUUGGCUUCCAAUUUUACCCAUUCGGCUACCCUUUUGUUUUGCCUAUAAAUAUGUGUUAAAUUUCAUUGUAAGGGGAGAAGAACCUUGAAUUAAUGUUUUUACAUUUUGUGAGAUUGUUUACAACUCUCAUUGUUCUCCAAAGACUCGUUUGACUUAUCAAGUAACCCUUGUGGCGUCAACCCAUUCUUCUUAUCCGAACUUAUCACUUUGCAUCCAAAGUGUGGCGUUCAAGUUAUACCGAGGUUCCUAUCAUCUUUGAUAGUGGGUCAAGGUUCCAUUUUAUUCGUUUUCCAUCCAUACAACAUUUAACCUUUCCUAAGUAUUCGUAUAAGUCCCGGGUUAACACACUUAUAUUGUGUUGGUUCAACUUGAAUACUUGGUUUUCAUUCACCUAUCAUCCUCAAUACACUUCAUAACCCCUUUUGAACUAAAUUUGAGCAUUUAUCCCUUCUUUCUUAACCUAUCUUCGACAAACCUUGAUAUUACUCCAAUUCACGAUCGGGUACAUCAACGACUCGACUCUCAUCACCGAGGCCGGGGCGUAUCAGUUAGAAUCCUUAAUAAGUAUAUUUUUAUAAGAAACAAACGAAAACAUCAUCCAAAUUCUUUACAAUGAGAUAAUUAAUUUUUAGUGAAGAGUGGUCGGAACUGUCAGACAGCGAAACAGGGGAAACUUUAAAGAAUAAACUGUACUAUUUGGCUGAACCAAAAAUUCUGAAACUUUUAUGAUAUGAAGAUAUGUGAGUCUAGUUUCAGGAAAAAUUAACGGAUCUUAAUCCAAAGCUCUGUAGCUCCGGAUAAAAAUAAUUUAGUGACUCUGACUCGGAUAAAUAGUUUUGAAUGUACAUGUUAGUGAAUACUGAAAUUAUGGUUAAUGUUGUUUAAGUGUGUUAUACACAUUAAGGAUGUGGAAUGGAGAGGAGGAGGAGGAAAAUUGGGAAAUAUAUGAAUGAUUCGUGUAUAAAUGGUCAUAUGUUUGAUUAUAACUGAUAAACGAUGAAAUAUGAAUGAUGCUUAUAUUUGUGCAUUAUUGGUCAUGUUUAAGCUCAUGUGUGAAAAUAAGGUUUCACAGUAUAUGUAUGGUAUAUUCAGUAUAUGAUUUGGCAUGAAAUAAUAUCAUGAAUGGUUUAUGAAUUAACACAUGUUGGUGAGCCUUAUAUAUGAAUAAAUGAUCAAAUUGAGCGGAACGCCGGAUUUGAGUACUUCUGAUCAAGUGACAAAGUGAUAAGUGAUAGCUUCGGCUAUACUUAUCUGAUCAAGUGACAAAGUGAUAAGUGAUAGCUUCAGCUACACUUAUCUGAUCAAGUGACAAGUGGAAAGUGAUAAGUGAUAGCUUCGGUUACACUUAUCUGAUCAAGUGACAAGUGAAAAGUGAAAAGUGAUAGCUUCGGCUAUACUUAUCUGAUCAAGAGACAAAGUGAUAAGUGAUAGCUUUUGCUACACUUAUCUGAUCAAGAGACAAAGUGAUAAGUGGCUACACUUAUCUGAUCAAGAAACAAAGUGAUAAGUGGCUACACUUAUCUGAUCAGGGACAAGUGAUAAGUGAUCAUAUGUAAGACCAUAGUUAUACUAUGGCAAAGUGAAAGUGAAGUACUCAAUUUUCCGUAACCGUUCCCUAAUUUGAUUAAGGAUGGUAAGUGACAAAUGGGCCCAAAAGAAUUAAAGCAAUUGGAUAAGUGGUAGUGUAUUUAUACCAGGAUGAUGUUGUUAUUUAAGCUAAAGUGAUAUCUUCAUUGCAAAAUUGAGAAUUUCAUAAAUGUGUUAGUGAAUGGUAUAAUCGAUAAACGUUGAGUUAAAUGGUAAAUACGUAUUAGUGUUAAACUUAGUGACAUUGAAUUGUACGUGAAUUAAAUGGAAAUUGCUAGUGAUAUGAUCUAAAUUGUAAGCAUGAGAAAUUGCGAAUUGAAUGAAAUGGAAAUGAAGCAUUGAAUUGUAUGAGUAUGUGACGGGUCUCGUAGGCCCUAAUUAUUAUGAUUAUAAUAUUUCGAGGAUAUAUUGUGAAAAGUUAUAGAAGCAUGUUAAUUAUUUUGAAAGUUUUUAUUUAGAUGAAAUUUUAUAACUCGGUUAAAUACGCUUACAAGUGUAUGUGUUUUGGUGAUACCUCGUACCCUAUUCCGGUGUUGGAUACAGGUAAGGGGUGUUACAGUGCCAAUGAACCGUCAAACUCUACCAACAAUUAAAUUAAAAGAAGUAUAGUACCCAAAUUUGAUUUCUAUCACAACACACAAAAGCUGUGCGUAAAAAAUUAACUAAUCGACAAAGAAAAUUAUUCAACCUUGUGGUAGCCACUUCAAACAAAGACAAUUACCCAUAUUCCUUCCUAAUAUUUAAAUAAAAUGAUAAUACGCUUUAGUCACUUUACUCGCAAUAAUACUGAUAUUUAUUAAGUUAAGAAUAAAUUUUAAUUUUUUAGUAUAGAAAUAAAAUAUAAUUUGAUUUCUAGUAAAUUACAUUCUAAUACUUUCACCCAAAAUUUACCCAAACAGAUCCUUCGAGAUUGUCAUUAGGGACUCAAAGGGAAAGGUUUUGGCGUCGAGGAUUGUUCUAAACGAGAGGGUACCUUCGAUUUUUACAACAGAGACCCUUGCAUGUGUCCAAGGGCUUCAAUUGGGGUUGGAUUUAGAAAUCAUGAUUGUAGAGGUAGAAGGAGAUAUUUUAUCAGUUAUUAAAAAUGUACAAAAGAAAAGGGAUGAUAUAUCAGAGAUUUGUGCUCUCAUUAAAGACUGACAAUGGCUGAGUAAGGGAUUCCAGAUCUGCAAUUUCAAACAUGUUCAAAGAAUGAAGAACAAAGAACGAAGUUGGCUACAAAAGGUUUAGGAAAUGGGGAACAAAGAGAUAUGAAUAAAGGAGCCCUGAUUACGUAGAGGAGCUAGUGGAAAUAGAUCGACAAAGCAGUGUGCAAGUUUGAUAUGUGUGGUGUCGAUUUACAUUUUGGAAAGUUGAAGAAUGGAAAAAAUGAAAGAGGAUCUAGAAGAUGAAAAGUUUUUUUGAAGGAUUGAAAGGUGUGAUAAUUAAUGGAAGAAUUACUACAUUGUUUAAGAACAAACUGUAAAUGGAUUAUGAGUCUAUAUAUACUCAUAUUUCACAUUUCACAUAGUUUAAAAAAAUAAGGGAAAUGAGAUUUGGGGUCUAUAUAAAUACAUAUUCUGUAAAUCUUAUUUCAUAUUAAUAUGUGGUACCAAAAAAUAAAAAAAUUUCUUGGUGUUGCCACUUUUAGUGUUGGUAUAGCAAAAACCACUUUCACCUAAAAGCAUUUUCAACAUGUAUUGGUAAUUUAAUCUCUUGCAUAGGCCUAUUUUUUAUUUGUAUUUUUUUUAUUUGCCAAAUUAAAAGUGAUGUUUCAUUAUGUUUGUUAUAUGAGUCAUAAAUUAGAUGUGAUGUUUCACUAUGUUUUUAUAUUAGUCCAGAAAAUAAGCUUGUUUUUUUGUAAAAAAAGUAUAAAUCAAAAAGUAGGAGUCAAAAAGUCUUUUUAGAGGUUAAUAAUAAAUUUCAGUUAAUUUAUAUAUAAUAAUAAUAAUAAUAAUAAUAAUAAAGGGCUAGUUUGGGGACCAGGAACAGCGUCCUGCAGAGCAAAUUAAUGAACAUUUUGGAUGCACUCUUAGAAUAUAAAACCAUGGACCCUCCCACAUGUCAUCCACUUUAUUUAGGUUGGUAUUCUAUUAGUAAAUUUUAUUUUUGGUUAUUCAGUUAUAAAAAGUUAUAAAAUUUUUACUUGAUUAUGUUUUUUGACCACCAACUAUUAAAUAGUUAACGGAAAAAAAUGACGUAACAAUUUUUAAAUUUGUUAUAAUAAUAACUUUAAUCUCAAUAUUUCUAUAUUGUUUUAAUUUAAUCUUUAUUUAAAAAAUUAAUCAUCAACAUUUAUACAUUAUGUAAUUUAGUUAGAUCAAGCUAAGUCAUGUAGAUAUCGUCCAAAAAAUAGUUAACACUUUUAAGCUCGACAUAUUUAGGGUUUUCAAGCUCUCAAAUCUGUUUCAGUCCAAGAUUCUGGGGAAUAAAUCAAUUAGUUAACUUGGAGUAGACACAUAUUCAAUUCAAUAGACAAUUCUCAACUAAUUCCUAAAUGAAAUGAUGUUUAAUAUCAAUAUGUUUGAUUCUUAAGUAGCAUUUUUUUUAAAGGAAAAGUCAUUACUUUAUACCUUAAUUUAAAGUGAUGUUUUUCUUUGACGUGAUGAUGAUUUGUAGAUGAAAAUUUGACUUAUAAGCAUAAAUUACUUUUAUCUAUUUAUUUAAUAUUUCACUAUCCAUUUUUUUUAUUCUUUUGAUUAUCUUAAAAAUGUUAUUUUAUUAUUUUAGAUUAAUCUAUUUUUAUUAUAAAUUAGAUCAAUCAUCUUUUAAUCUAGGAAUAUAUUUUUAUAAACUGUAAACAUAAUAUUUAAUAAAUAAAAAAAUAAACAUAUAAGAUCACAAUCAUCGUAACAUUUGGAAUCAAUUUAUUAUAAAUAGAGUAAAUGGUUAUUGGAGAAUUGAUUGACUUAAUUUUUUAACAUUCAUUAUUUUAAUCGAAACUUAAAUUGAAGGGACGAAAUCAAAUUAACAUACUAGAACAACCCCUAAUAAAUCAACUUCAACAAGAAAACGAAAUGUAAAGAAGUGAUCUAUGAUUUCAACCAUUGAACAAAGUUCUUGAAUACCUUAUCAGAACUUCCACCAUCACCUACACUUUUGGUAACCAUUUGCUUCAGUUCAAUAGCUCUUGUUUUGAACUUUUCAUCACCAACCAAUUGUUCCACUUUGCUUUUAAUUUCUUCUUUUCUAAUGAUACCUCCUUCAUCCUUUUGGAGUUUUAAUCCAAGCUUCCAAAUAUCAGAAAUGUAGCUUUCAUUCAGGAACUGAUCAGCAAAGUAAGGCCAACACAAGAAAGGCACCCCAUUGCUUACACCUUCCAUGGUGGAAUUCCACCCACAGUGACUUAUAAAGCAUGCAAUGGAAGAAUGACCCAAAACUGCUGCUUGUGGUGCCCAACUUACUAUCCUACAUUGAUUGCCAACUCUUUCAUUAAACCCUUUAGGGUAGUUAUGGUGUUUUCCUUUUGUAAUAUCUUCUCUUACAACCCAAAGGAAUGGUCUUUCGGUGAUUUCAAGGCCCAAAGCUAACUCUUGAAACUGGAUUUGGUCAAAAACUGUGAAACUACCAAAUGCGACAUAUAUGACUGAACCAGGUGACUGUUGAUCGAGCCACUGCAAACAAGUUGGAUCCUCGAGCCAAAAAUUUCCCGACAAGUUUCCGAGCCGAUUGGUGGCUAAAAAUGGGCCUAUGGGUAAGGCUCUGGGAACUAAGUUGAACCCUUGAAGCUCUAAUUCCAAACUUGAGUUGCAAAGUACCCAAUCUGUUGUUUCAACAACUUUGUUGUUCCUAAGUAGAAAAUCAAACAUGAUUUUUUGGGUUGAAGGAGAGUCAUCAAGGUUAAGCCAUAUCAAAUUCAUUGGGUGUAUAGAAGGCGUCAUUGGUGACAACUGAAUCAUCUUAUGUUUCAUGAGUGGAGUGCCUGCAAAACAGAUUUAAAUAAUUGAAGAUAACGUUGUUGAAAGUGUUUUCUAAGCUAUAAGUAAUGUUAAACUGACAGUUUCAGAAGUAAGAAAAUGCUUUUGAAUCCUUGGAAAAAACAUAUUUAAAGUCAAGUGACAUUUUUAACCAUUAUUUAUUAUUUAAUGUGUUUUAUGUACUAAUUAUAUUGGAUAUACAAUUAUUUUUCUAUUGAAAUUUAUUUUAAAUAUAUACUAUUAUAUAGUUAAUUUUUUUAUAGUUAUAUUUUAAUGAUAUUUAAAAUAUAGAUUAUAUACUUAAAUUAAAUUUUAUAAAUAAUUAAUAUUAAUUGCUUACAAAUAUUUAAAAUUUAUAUUGCAUAUAUCAAAAUAUUAAUAAUGAGUUAUGAUAAAAAAAUUAUAUUUUUUAUUUUAAUAUCAUAAUAAUAACGAGUUUUAAUAUUAUUCAAAUGCAUAUUUUUAUUUCACAAUAUCAUGUUUAAAAUAAAUAUAUUAUUUCUUAAAAAUAUUUGUUAUUAAUAAUAAUAAACACUUAAAUUAAUGGUUUAAAAAUAUUUUUAGUUCAAAAGUUAUGAGAAAAUAGCCUAAGUCGAAUCAAAUUAGAUAUCAAACGAGAAAAAAAACUUAUAUUUUCCCUUAUUCAUAGGUACUGCACUGGUAAGUAGUUAAAGCAAGACAUGGUACGUCUUACCAUUUUCAUCUAUCAGUCCAUCAUCGAUAAGUUUGGGGACCCUAAGCAACACCGCCAGUUGAAGCACCGCAGCCGACCACAAGCCCACUGUAGGAAUCCCCAACUCCGCUGCAACAUCAAGAGCCAACCCCAUGCUAAUAUCAGCUAAAACACAUGAAAUCUUAUCAUCAUCUGAUCCAUUAACCUUAUGAAUGAGCUCCUUGAGUUGAGUAGGCAUAACCUGGCAUAAACUUUCAGUUAAUUUCCCUAACUGAUUCCUAUCUUCCCCAUCUUCCAGUCCAUCGGGGACUGAAAGUAGAUGAAGUAAGCCAUUUUUAUCCACCUUCUCGCCGAAUGCAUCCAGGACCCUCUUGUGAUUAAACACCGUGUUAACAAAGCUGAUUUUGAUGCCUUGUUUGGCUAAGUUUUGGGAGAGUUCCAUGAGAGGAAUAACAUGGCCUUGUGUUGGAUAAGGGAUUACUACAAUGUGUGGUUUCCCCAUUUUCGUUUGUGCUUCUGGAAAAUUGAGGGCUUACACUUUGAUUAUUUAUAGCAACCAUUUCGGGCCAAUAUACGUUUCCAAUGCCACCCCUCUUCUAAAGAAAAUAAUAAUAUAAUAAUAAUAUGGUGUCAUGUGAUUUAAUUAUGGUGCAUCUUCUGUCUUGUUAUAUAGUUGGAUUUUUCAUUCUCCCACUACAACAAAAUCAAGCUUACGAUCAUACAUUUUUUUUUACUUAGUACGCAUUACUAAUAGCUACUAAAAAUGAUUUUAAUUGUAUUUUUUUAAUUUUUUGGUCAUUGACCUUUAUUUUUUUAAUCUGUUUUUUAACAGUUUUAAUGAAAGUACAAUUAAAAUAAUUAACGGGAAUGAUGUGAAAUUUCAUAUGUGAAAUAUUUUUAAUGAGAUAUGAUUUAUUACUUAGAUAAUUCAAUAAGAUAAUUGCAUGUGAAAAAAAUAAUAAAAUAAAUAAAUAAUACAUUAAAUUAAAAAAUAACUCUUAAUUUAAAGAAAAUAACGUAAUUAUCUAAAGAAAUGUAACUCAGUAGAAAAUUUUCUCAAUAAACAAACAUAUGAAAGAUUGAAACCUUAAAUUUAUUCAUUAAAUCUCGUGAAUUAAUUAAUUAAAUAUGUUAAAAUGUAGUUGAAAAUAAAUUAAAGGUUGAUGGAACAAAAAACUCAAAAAUACAAUUAGGGCCAUUUUGACAAAACAUAUAAAUAUUAGUGAUCAAAUUUAUCAUUAAGCCUUACUCAUAUAACGUGCCAUACAUAUAUUUAACAUAUAUUGUAUUAUAUUAUAGUAUAAAAAUUAAUAAAUCUUCGAAUUAUUUAUAUAUGUAACAUAUAUUAUAAUAUGAAUUGUUAAUAUGAAACUACCUUACACAUGAUUUGCUUUGUUAUAUUAUAUAAUGAUAUAUUAUAUUACGAAGAAUAAAAAUUACAUUAUAUUUAUUACUUAUAAUUAAUUAUAUGCAUAUAAAUACUAUAAGCAUGAUAACAUAAUAUGAAUUAUUAAUACUUUGACUUUAUUAUAAUUAUAUUCAUUUAAUUAUUAGUGUGUUUUUUUUGUUACUUAACUAUGAAAAGUUACAAAAUAGUUACUCAAUUUCAACUUUUUUUCUUUUUUGGGCACCCAAUUUUUAAUUGAAAAUUUCUUUUAUGAUCACCAGCCAUUAAAUUACUAACCGAAAAAUAACUUAGCAGUUUUUAAAAUUGGCAUAAUAGUAACAUUAACCUUAACAUUUACACCUUGUGUUAAUUUAGUCUUGAUUCUAAAAAAAAAAAACAAAUUAACCCUCGACAUUUGCACAUCGUAUAAAUUGGUAUUUUUUUUUAAAUUUUACUUUUUAUUUAUAAUGUUGAUGGUUAAUUUUAAAAGAAUAAGAAAAGUUAGAAAUGAUUAUGUUGAAUUUUCGAAUGUUUCCUUUUUGAUAUAUUUCCUAUCAAAUUUACUUGAUAGAUUUGUCUUUUCUUUUAGCUCUUUAGGUGGAAGGGCAACAAAAAAAAAGGCAACAAAAAAAGAGAGGAGAGAUCAAAUUACACAAUAUGUAAAUUUUAAGGGUUAAUCUUUUUUAGAAUGAAGACUAAAUUGGCACAAGUUAUAAAUGUUGAAGGUUAAAGCUAUUAUUAUGUCAAUUUUAAAAGUUAUCACGUUAAUUUUCUAUCAAUCAUUUACGGUUGGUGACCAAAAAGGAAAAAUUCGAAUAGUUAAGUGAUAAUUUUGUAACAUUUCUCUCAUAGUUAAGUGCCAAAAAAAACUUAUUAAUAGUCAGUGGCGGAUCUUUGGACUAAGUUUUGAGGCUAUUAAAAAUUUCAAAAAUUUUAAUGAGAUUUAAAAAAAAAUUAACAGUCUAAUUAAAAUUUUGAAACUUUUUGUGAAAUUAAUGAGAAUUUUUAAAUGUUUUAAGUGGGCUUUUUUAAUUAAAUUUCAAAAAAAAAUAAUGAGAAUUUUUUAAAAUUUGGGGAGCUUACUUUUUUUUUUUUUACUUUAAAAGAGAAAUAAAAUUUUAAAAAAUAAAUAAUAAUUUCUCAAAAUUUUAAUAGUGCCAGUGAACCAUCAAACUCUGCCAACCAUUAAAUUAAAAGAAGAAUAGUACCCAAAUUUGAUUUCUAUCACAGCACACAAAAGUUGUGCAUAAAAAAUUAACUAAUCGACAAAGAAAAUUAUUCAACCUUGUGGUAGCCACUUCAAACAAAGACAAUUACCCAUAUUCCUUCCUAAUAUUUAAAUAAAAGAAUAAUAUGCUUUAGUCACUCCACUGACAAUAGUACUAAUAUUAAUUAAGUUAAGAAUAAAUUUUAAUUUUUUAGUAUAGAAAUAAAAUAUAAUUUGAUUUCUAAUAAAUUACAUUCUAAUACUUUCACCCAAAAUUUACCCAAACAGAUCCUUCGAGAUUGUCAUUAGGGACAAAAAAGGGAAAGGUUUUGGUGUCGAGGAUUGUUCUAAACGUGAGGGUACCUUCGAUUUUUGCAACAGAGACCCUUGCAUGUGUCCAAGGGCUUCAAUUGGGGUUGGUUUUGGAAAUCAUGAUUGUAGAGGUAGAAGGAGAUGUUUUAUCAGUAAUAAAAAAUGUACAAAAGAAAAGGGAUGAUAUAUCGGAGAUGUGUGCUCUCAUUAAAGACUGUCAAUGGCUAAGUAAGGGAUUCCAGAUCUGAAAUUUCAAACAUGGCCAAAGAAUGAAGAAGAAAGAACGAAGUCGGCUACAAAAGGUCUAGGAAAUGGGGAACAAAGAGUUAUGAACAGAGGAGCCCUGAUUACGUCGAGGAGCUAGUGGAAAGAGAUCAACAAAGCAGUGCGCAAGUUUGAUAUGUGUGGUGUUGAUUUACAUUUUGGAAAGUUGAAGAAUGGAAAAAAUGAAAGAGGAUCUGGAAGAUGAAAAGUUUUUUUAAAGGAUUGAAAGGUGUGAUAAUUAAUGGAAGAAUUACUACAUUGUUUAAGAACAAACUGUAAAUAGAUUAUGAGUCUAUAUAUACUCAUAUUUCACAUCUCACAUCGUUUAAAAAAAAUAAGGAAAAUGAGAUUUGGGGUCUAUAUAAAUACAUGUUUUGUAAAUCUUAUUUUCAUGUUAAUAUGUGGUACCAAAAAAUAAAAAAAUUUCUUGGUGUUGCCACUUUUAGUGUUGGUAUAGCAAAAACCACUUUCACCUAAAAGCAUUUUCGACAUGUACUGGUAAUUUAAUCUCUUGAAUAGGCCUAGUUUUUAUUUGUAUUUUUUUAUUUGCCAAAUUAGAUGUGAUGUUUCAUUAUGUUUGUUAUAUGAGUCAUAAAUUAGAUGUGAUCUUUCACUAUAUUUUUAUAUUAGUCGAGUCAAAAAGUCUUUUUAGAGGUUAAUAAUAAAUUUCAGUUAAUUUAUAUAAAAUAAUAAUAAUAAUAAAGGGCUAGUUUGGGGACCAGGAAUAGCGUCCUGCAGAGCAAAUUAAUGAACAUUUUGGACGCACUCUUAGAAUAUAAAACCAUGGACCCUCCCACAUGUCAUCCACUUUAUUUAGGUUGGUAUUCAAUUAUUAGUAAGUUUUAUUUUUGGUUAUUCAGUUAUAAAAUUUUUACUUGAUUAUGUUUUUUGACAACCAACUAUUAAAUAGUUAACGGAAAAAAAUGACGUAACAACUUUUAAAUUUGGUAUAACAAUAUCUUUAACUUCAAUAUUUUUAUAUUGUUUUAAUUUAAUCUUUAUUUAAAAAAUUAAUCAUCAACAUUUAUACAUUAUGUAAUUUAGUUAGAUCAAGCUAAGUCAUGUAGAUAUCAUCCAAAACAUAGUUAAUACUUUUAAGCUCGACAUAUUUAGGGUUUUCAAGCUCUCAAAUCUGUUUCAGUCCAAGAUUCUGGGGAAUAAAUCAAUUAGUUAACUUGGAGUAAACACAUAUUCAAUUCAAUAGACAAUUCUCAACUAAUUCCCAAAUGAAAUGAUGUUUAAUAUCAAUAUGUUUGAUUCUUAAGUGACAUUUUUUUUAAAGUAAAAGUCGUUACUUUAUACCUUAAUUUAAAGUGAUGUUUUUCUUUGACGUGAUGAUGAUUUGUAGAUGAAAAUUUGACUUAUAAGCAUAAAUUACUUUUAUCUAUUUAUUUAAUAUUUCACUAUCCAUUUUUUUAUUCUUUUCAUUAUCUUAAAAAUGUUAUUUUAUUAUUUUAGAUUAAUCUAUUUUUAUUAUAAAUUAGAUCAAUCAUCUUUUAAUCUGGGAAUAUAUUUUUAUAAACUGUAAACAUAAUAUUUAAUAAAUAAAAAAAUAAACAUAUAAGAUCACAAUCAUCGUAACAUUUGGAAUCAAUUUAUUAUAAAUAGAGUAAAUGGUUAUUGGAGAAUUGAUUGACUUAAUUUUUUAACAUUCAUUAUUUUAAUCGAAACUUAAAUUGAAGGGACGAAAUCAAAUUAACAUACUAGAACAACCCCUAAUAAAUCAACUUCAACAAGAAAACGAAAUGUAAAGAAGUGAUCUAUAAUUUCAACCAUUGAACAAAGUUCUUGAAUACCUUAUCAGAACUUCCACCAUCACCUACACUUUUGGUAACCAUUUGCUUCAGUUCAAUAGCUCUUGUUUUGAAAUUUUCUUCACCAACCAAUUGUUCCACUUUGCUUUUAAUUUCUUCUUUUCUAAUGAUACCUCCUUCAUCCUUUUGGAGUUUUAAUCCAAGCUUCCAAAUAUCAGAAAUGUAGCUUUCAUUCAGGAACUGAUCAGCAAAGUAAGGCCAACACAAGAAAGGCACCCCAUUGCUUACACCUUCCAUGGUGGAAUUCCACCCACAGUGACUUAUAAAGCAUGCAAUGGAAGAAUGACCCAAAACUGCUGCUUGUGGUGCCCAACUUACUAUCCUACAUUGAUUGCCAACUCUUUCAUUAAACCCUUUAGGGUAGUUAUGGUGUUUUCCUUUUGUAAUAUCUUCUCUUACAACCCAAAGGAAUGGUCUUUCGGUGAUUUCAAGGCCCAAAGCUAACUCUUGAAACUGGAUUUGGUCAAAAACUGUGAAACUACCAAAUGCGACAUAUAUGACUGAACCAGGUGACUGUUGAUCGAGCCACUGCAAACAAGUUGGAUCCUCAAGCCAAAAAUUCCCCGACAAGUUUCCGAGCCGAUUGGUGGCUAAAAAUGGGCCUAUGGGUAAGGCUUUGGGAACUAAGUUGAACCCUUGAAGCUCUAAUUCCAAACUUGAGUUGCAAAGUACCCAGUCUGUUGUUUCAACAACUUUGUACUUCCUAAGUUGAAAAUCAAACAUAAAUUUUGGGGUUGAAGGAGAGUCAUCAAUGUUAAGCCAUACCAAAUUCAUUGGGUGUAUAGAA